GAGACUGGUUGGGUAACACCUUCCAAACCUCCCACCCUUUGUUUACAUUACCUUUGUUGCUUUGGCAGGCCCGUCUUUGGACCGCCGGCUUCGGCUGGCCAGCGCUUGCCAGAGGACCUAAAACUCUGUUUAAUCGUAUUGUCUGAGUACUAUAUAAUAGUUAAAACUUUCAACAACGGAUCUCUUGGUUCU
rnacentral:misc_RNA from 1 species